GGGCCCGCACAAGCGGUGGAGCAUGUGGUUUAAUUCGACGCAACGCGCAGAACCUUACCAGCCCUUGACAUCCCGGUCGCGGACUCCAGAGACGGAGUUCUUCAGUUCGGCUGGACCGGAGACAGGUGCUGCAUGGCUGUCGUCAGCUCGUGUCGUGAGAUGUUGGGUUAAGUCCCGCAACGAGCGCAACCCCCGUCCUUAGUUGCUACCAUUUAGUUGAGCACUCUAAGGAGACUGCCGGUGAUAAGCCGCGAGGAAGGUGGGGAUGACGUCAAGUCCUCAUGGCCCUUACGGGCUGGGCUACACACGUGCUACAAUGGCGGUGACAAUGGGAUGCUAAGGGGCGACCCUUCGCAAAUCUCAAAAAGCCGUCUCAGUUCGGAUUGGGCUCUGCAACUCGAGCCCAUGAAGUUGGAAUCGCUAGUAAUCGUGGAUCAGCACGCCACGGUGAAUACGUUCCCGGGCCUU
rnacentral:rRNA from 1 species